ensembl:snRNA U2 U2 spliceosomal RNA
AUUGGUUAUCUGCCUUCCGGCUAAGAGCAAGUGUAGUAUCUGUGUGUAUCACUUUGAUAGCUCAUAUUCCUCUAUCUGAAAACAGUGUAUUAGAUGGGUUUUUCCAGCUGGGAAAUAGUAAGAUCUUGAUCCACUCACUCCAUUUAUUGUUCUGUUAUUUCUGGAAAUGUGCAGCCCUCAGAGUACAUGCAAAAUAAAAAAGUA